GAGCACUCGCGACUCGUCAACCAGUCAGCGGUCCCGCCCAUCCUUCACGCGAAGCUCUGAGACCGGUGCGGCGGCGGCGGCGGUUGUUGUAUCUGCGGCUGCUGCUGUUCCCUGUCCUCUCUCGUCAGCGUCAACGUCAACAUCUUCAGAGCCUACUGUCGUGUUGUCAUCCAAUCUACAAACUGGUUGUACAUCCUUCCCAAGAUGAACAGAAUGAACUGCCUGCUCAACUUGCUCGUUUGCCUGUUUGCUGCUGUUGAAAUUACCAUAGCCGGUCGCCUCAAGGUGCAGUGCAGCGAAGACAGAGUCACAGCCAAAGCUGGAGAUGAUGAUGUUAUCCAGUGUCGAUUUAAGACUGGGAAUAAGAUUGGCAGUGUGGCGUUUGUUUGGAAGAAGGCAGAUACAAUGGGAAUUGUCUACAUUUACCCAAGGAACCAAAGCAACCAGACGGAGCAAGAUCCAAGUUUUCGCAACCGCACUGAAGUCUUUCCCAACGAGAUUCCCAAUGGGAACUUGUCCCUGAGACUGAGGAACAUGUCUCUGUUAGACAGUGGAAUCUAUAAACUCCACGUCUCCAGCCGAUCACAAGACUCCGAUGCACAAGUCUUCCUCAGUAUCCGAGUAUCUUUCCACAGUGGCCCAGCAAGUCCAGAAAAUCGUGUGUGGGAUUGGGAUCAUGGCCUGAGACUCUUUGCUAUUACUUGUGGUCGUAUGUCAGAGCCCUAACACAAUGUGCCACAUUGCUGACUUCUUAUUCUUCAGUGCUUUAUAAAAGCAGAAGGGAUCUGGAGAUGAGUACUUUCAACUGGAAGUACUGCUUCUCCCAUCUGGACAAGGUAAUUUAAAACCUAUGCCAUGCCUUGUGCCUCGGAAUGCGUUGUGUCUGUCGUCUGGUUGAGCUGAUUAAAAGUAAAGUAUAAUCGGUACCCUCUUAUUGAUUAUCGUAAGAUACAGGUUUGAUCAAUGAGAAAUAUAAUGGUCCUUCUUUAACACCAGGAAUGAGAGCAUGGUUGCUCUCUGAGUAAAACGGUUUGUAUUAAUGCCUCUGUUCCUGGGAAUUGGUUAUCGUUGGCAGGCAAGCAUCCAAGUCCAUUACUCUGGUCGCCCAGAGAUGGGGUGAUGACUGGGAUGUUUCGGAGGCAGAAAGAAAUGGAUGAUGUUGGAGAGAGUCUGGGGGUCAAGUAUUAGUCCAUAAUAAAAAAACAGAAUUUUCAAUAUAGUGGGCAUUUUCAAUAUGGUUGGGAUUUUAUAGAAAUCUGGUACUUUUGUAGCCACUUUCUGCUAGCGCAAGCUUUUUGUCUUUAAAUUUCUGAAUAUGUUCAUUUGUUCAUCAGAGGUAAGGGAAAUAAAAUGAUAUUACAGAGCUGAAGUAAGUGAUCUUGGUUGAGGUUCAGCUCGAGGUUGAAGCUGUGCAGACUUUUAAAUGUUUUGUUGAACAGUGCAGAAAGCAAUUGGGUUCACCUCUUUUUCCUGUGACAAUGUUUCAAACUUCCACUGUUGGGGUGUAGAAAGAACCUGCUGCUGAGUGAUAUGAGGCUUCAAGUCAGGGCUGUAGCCUGUAUAGCAGACAUUACUAGGCAGCCUUUGUAUUUUCCCGGUAGCAGGCAGGAAGGGAUGUGCAGUUGAGAUGCAUGCUAGUUUUGGUGAAAGUCAGCAAAGAAGCUGUAUUUCCCAGCGAGAGAGGGUAUUUGAAGUUUUUGUGGGAUCUUGUCAAAGGAAUUUGUACAGCAUCAAACUGAACAACCAAUACUGGUUAAGGGAAUUCAGGGAAUUAAAAUUUACUCUUUACGAGAUUUGUGCAAAAAGUAAACUAUCUUUUCAAUUCAUUUCUUGACACAUACGCAGAUGACCCAGUUUCGCAUGAUGAAAAAUUGUGUUGUGGAACAUUUUCUGGGAACUUAACUGCCCCAAUAAUCCCAACGUCACUUGUAAUGUAGUUUUAAAAUGUUGUAAUGGAGGUGACCCAGCUAAUUUUCACACAAGAUUCCACAAAAGGGACUACUUUACCAACAUGGUCAUUUGUUCUGGUGAAUUGGAAUUUGGGAUUGGUGUAAGACAGGUGAGAAUUCAGAACCGUUUGAAAAUAAUUAUCUUUUCAAACCUUCCCUGAAUGAGAGUUUAAAAAUAAGAUGGCACAUCAGAUGUUGCAACAGAUCUUUGGUACUGCGCUGAGGUGUUGACCUCGAUUUUGUGUGCAAGUACCUGGAUUGGGGGCUUGGAGCGGGCUACCCUCCGAGCCAUGCUGAAUCAUUCCAUCCAUUAUCUGUGAUUUUCACACAUUUUCUGUCAUACAUAAGGGAGUAGAAGGGAAGGGAUAAUGUUGAGAGUUAGUGCAUGUUGAGAGUUUGAUUUCAGGAAAAUGGGGAACAUGGCAUGGUGUCAGCAAGGAAUUGCUGAAUGGAAGGAGGAGUGACUGCUCUGUUCAGAUGUGAAGAGGGUGGGGAUAGGUGCUGGUUGUUGGUAGUCCAGCUACUCCUCUUGGCAAUGUAAGCAGGAUUAGUGCACAAGCUAGAAAUAACCAGGAUGUAGCUGAAAGAUUUGGUUUCCCAUUCAUUUGUAAAUGUGUGACAGAUCAAUGACUUGAAUGAAUUGAAAGUAGUUGUAUGUCCUUCAUAUUGUGGAGUGCAAGGGUACUGAGUUUCUUUUCUGUGCCAGCUCCUGUCCUACAGUGGCUCUGGGGCAAGGGUUGGUCCCCAGCCAAGGCUGAUAUACCGAACGAUGUACACAGGAGGCUGGGAGCGCAAGAGAGCAGGAUUGAGCAAGGAACGGAAGUCUGAAUACAUAACAAGAUUCUUUUGCCAGGGCAAUGAUGGAAGAACCAGCAGGCUAAUCUCUUGGUUAGCCUUCGAUCUGCUGCUUCAGCUGCCGUGCUUUAACAUCUCUUGGAAUUUAACCUGACCAGAAAACAUGAUGCUUUACCAGAACAAAGAAAGAAACGACUUGCUGAAGAAUAUUCAAUUUGAAUUAACUUGUUUAUCAGUGCCACUUCCCUUUAGGUCUCAUCAUUUAAUAAAAUUGAUAGGCAGAGCAGACCUCCAUUUAUCCCAUGUCCCAAUUAAAUCAUCCCUUGUCUUUCUAUAUUGCAAGAAUAAUUUUCCCUUCUUCCCAAUUUCUCUGUAUAACUUAGUCCUUUGAACAGUAGUCUCCAUAUCUUUUCCCAUGCCUUUACCCUCUUCCUGGAGCCCAAAGAUAGACUAAGUCAUACCAUUUGACUUUUUAUUUUGCUAUCCAGCACCUGUUUGCAAAGUCCUUUCAUGAAUCCAUUUAAACUCAAGAUCUCCAUCACUUUUUUUGUCCCUCACUACUCUCUCCUCACAACAAGUCUAAAAUUGAUCAACGAUUCACAAGCUGAGCCCAGAUGGACAACAUUGCCAAGGCGAUCCAGUGAGGUAAGAUUCCUUGUGCUUUGUUGGCAUAGUUUAAACUGUUUACUUUUGCCUUGCAGCUCUCGGCACCCAACCAGUCAUUCAUUCGUCUGGUGAUGAUCUGGGCCUGUUGGUGCUGGUCUGCGAGUCCUCCGGGUGGUACCCAGCUCCCAGCGUCACCUGGGAAAAUGGAUUGGGGGAGAAUCUGACCAGGCACUCGCACACAGAGCUUUUUAACUGCACAAGUGGCAGUGUCUGUGUGAAGAGCACGCUGGAACUGGUGAACUGGCCCACCGGCAACUACACGUGCACAAUGUGGGACCAGCAGUUGGACGAAGGAUUAUCGUCAACUUUUUCCUUAAUUCACAGGAUUCCGUUGGGAACGGUAAUUGGUGCGACUGGUGCCAGCGUCUGCGCGCUUGUUCUGAUUAUAGCUGUUUGUUGGAGUUGGUGGUAACUGGACAAUGUGAUUGGGGUCCUGUGGUUCCUCCUGUGUGACUGUCUGUAUCACUGAAGACUCUGUUGGUUUAAAGGAUGCCUCUGGUGCGGAUGCAGGACAAACUUGAAAGGGGGUGAAAAGGACUUGGCUCCACUUUGUAGACAACAAGGACUCAUUCUCCUUCCCCUUUGUGCCAUCAGAGCCAACUGGGUUCCAGCAUUCAUCCCUCCUGAGAGCAGCAAUUCCUGCAUUAAACUCUGCACAGGCAAUGAUGCUGUCGGAAAAGAUACAAAAACAUAAAAGACUGGUGCUAUGUUAAUAGGUUUGUUUUUGCACUUUACAGUGUUGUCCGAGCACUGUGUGUGUCAAGUGUUCCAAUGAUAAACCUGUGUUUCACUUAAGCAACUGACCUUUGUAAUCGGGGACAUUGCAAAUCAAUUUCUGGCAACUUUCGAAUUUUCACUUUAUAAUGAUUCUAUAGCUUUAGCAGUGAAACAACAAUUAUAGAUUUACCAUUGAGUUGCCCACUUCAAUGAGCCAUACAUGGCUUGUCUUAAAUUAGGACAACUUGCCACAUAGAGGGAGGAAGGUUGAUCUGGUAUUGUCACGAUUCUUAAGAAAAUUACAGGAAUGCUCCUUAAGAUGUUGCUGUGAUGGUAGAUAAUCUGUAUUGUUGGGGUUGAUUGAUCCCAGAAGUAUUGUAAUUGAGAAGGUGUUUAUCUCUGCACAAUUAUCACACUGUCCUUUGUAACCAAGUCCUGUCUGUGGUUUGGGAGUAAUGUUUCUAAACAAUCCAGUGUUCCAGCUAAUCUCUCUACCUCUCAUUUCUAUCACUUUCUGAGAAUUCUUGAGAGUUUUUCUGUACCAGGUGGCCUCUAUUUCCCGGCCCUCAUAUGACACAAAUCGCCACAUCGGUCAAACUGUGACUAAUAAGUUAAAAUCCUGGGAACUGCAGAGAUUUUGAACAUACCAGCAGCCCAAUAACCCCGGUCCACCCAGUGACUCAUUUCACAGCAUGGUUAGAACUCAUCUUACUGCUCUUCUCUCUCCACUUAGUUCUGUGUGUACUGCUUCUCUAACUGGUUUACAAAGUGCCGAACUCGAUCUGGAAGUAAAGCUUUCUUUUCAUUAGCUGCUAACUUUUGUUGUAGCUGAUCGAGGAUGGUCUAAUUAUUUAAGAAGAUUUCACUUGACUCUCAAUGCUUUAAAACACUUUUUCUGAAGCCUCCUCAUGGCAUGCAGUGCUCCAGAAAAAGCAGGACCAGAACAGGGCAUGGUUUUCUAUCCCAAUCUGUCAGUGAGUUCAUGGCCAAUGUAACCACCAAUUAAUGCCCCAGAUCAUUGAUACCUCGUGUGAACAUGUAAAUAUUUUGAUAUUUAUAAUGUCUGGAGGCUGUCACUAUCUGUGGCUUCACAUCAUUCUGGUAAAUCUACACUGGUGACUCUAUCCCACUAUAAAGUUUGCCAUUGGUCAAGCUGUGGUCUAUGCUUUGUACAAGUUUAUCAUUGAUGUAAAAUAAAUUAUUCGUUUUUCAGGAUGUAGCUCUUGUAAUGUAUGUCUCAGGAUGUAAGAUCACUUUUUUUUGCACAUUGGGAGGUGUGCUACUACUUAUGUUCUUCACUGCAGCAGAGAGAUUAGUUGGGCAAUCAGCAGGUCAAAUACAUGGGAUGUUAGACACUUACAGGCCCAAAGUAGAAGACAUCGGGUCUCCUUCUCUGAAGGCCUCAAGUGAGCUGGUGGGGUUUCCAAGUCAAUUUGAAGAUAAAUUACUGAAGGCAGGUAUUUUUGCUUAAAAUGAAGAUAAAAUCAGCAAUUUUCUCUGCCUGUGGUGACACUUGAAGUUCUUUGGGUUGUUGGUCCUGUACCAUAAUAUCUACACACCACCCUUUGUCUCCAUUGCAAUCUCAAUUUUUUUCUCUCUCUUCUGCACCAUUACACUGUCAGGAGUUUCUGGUUUUGAUCUGAGCUCUAUAAGUUCUAGGUAGAAGGGUCUCGACCCGAAACGUCGCCUAUUCCUUCUCUCCAUAGAUGCUGCCUCACCCGCAUAGUUUCCCCAUCCUUUUUUUGUCUACCUUCGAUUUUUCCAGUAUCUGCAUUUCUUUCUUAAGUAUAAGUUGAUUAGACUGAUUUGAAUGACAAGCAUUGACCUUACCCCACUGCGUUACUGCUUCAAGAAAUUAUCCAGUAUGAGAAUUGAUUACUUCUGUUCACAACCUCAUUGGUGCAGACAUGAAUCCAAUUCAUUCAGUUCAAAGACUACAUUCUUUCCUAACCAACUUCUGCAUGUUAGUUUUGUGUUAACAGCAUAGGUUUAGAUAUUAUUUCAUUGUUCAUAUCCACAUUAAACCAAGAUUGGGUUAGUUUUAGUCACUGAUGCCUUGAGUUGAGCAAAAUGAGGCAAUUGGCAAUAAUUACGUUUUAAGAUCUGGGUUGUUGAGUUUCUGCUCAGAUGAAACUAACAAGGAAUGUGCACAAUCAACUUUCACUUUCAUACCGAUACCUUCAAAUUUACCAACGUCCUGAAGCUUUGUAAUUGGUACCACUGGCAUAGGUGGUACGGUUGCCAAUUCUGGUCAUGCAUAUACCAGGAAGCCAACACGGAUGCUGGGCCAUUGAAUGGAUCUGUGCCAGCCAUAGGGUCAAACACAGGAAGCAAACUGAGUGGCUGACUGUAAAGACUGUUCAGAGCUUGUUUUUCAGUCCGUUUACAGAUUGGACUGCCUGACACAGAGGAGCAAGAGUUGAGAUCGACCUUUUGUGCCUAAUCUGUCACACAAUUACGUUGAAUGUAUUUUUACUUUAUUGAUUGCUCUUAGUUCUGUAACCUUUAAUACCCUUGCCAAACAAAGCUCUUAUCACGAGGAGCUUGUUAAUCUUGUUUGUCUUUUGAUGUUUUUUGUUCCCUUUUGAUUCAGGCGUUUUGAAAUUGAAUUACAUGCAUUAUUUAAUGUC